UCUCAGAAAAAAAGGUACAUGGUGGUACAAAUAAUGUUCCUCGAAGAACGGUUUUGUACCUUUUUAAUAAUUGUACCCUAAAUGGUACAGGAAAGACCUCUGAUGAUACUGUUUGGUACCUUUUAAGGUACAACUGAAAUGAAGGUACAAAAUUGUUCUCACAUCAAGGGUACAUUGAAUACCUGUCAACCUUGAUAGACAGUUCCCUUAUUAUUACAUUUGCAAAUAGCAUACAAUCUCUGUGAACGAAAAUGAUUAAAUAGUAAAGAUAUGAAUAAUUUACAGAUUAAAAUAAUUAAAUGAGUUUAUACAACUGUCUUAAAUGUACAUUAUCAUAACAGUUCUGAAAAUAGUGCUAAAAACAUGUGAAAACCACUAGGAAACAGGUUUUGUGAUAUUUAUAAAACAAAAUACAUGCAGUUUUUUUAAUAAAUAUUUUAUUAGACAAUCAUGAUGAAAUAGAUUUAUCAUUGGUAUCCACGCAAUUUGUCGUUUGCUUUCCUUUGCAAUCCGACCAAAUUACUGUUUCAUGCACGAUUGGUUGCUGUGUUAAAUAAUUUGCAUAGCAACAAGACACUGAUUGGUCGAAUUCGGCAGCGCUGCUGCAGCCGUUACGGAAUUUUCUCUGUCAUUACUGAGAGCGGGAAGAAGCACUUCUGAAACACACGUCCAGGCAUUUUGCUUCUGUCUUUUUCGACUUAAAAGCUCAAAAAUAUUAAGAAGGUGGAUUUAAAUGAUCAAAUAGUUUGUAGACGAAAUGUAAAGAACGGAGAGCGGGAAGCAGACGACCAUGGCUUUGUCGUCGAUGUCGUCAGAAGAACUCCUAUUAAAAUUAACAGAGGCCGGACUCGAAUUGUCAGAGGAAGAAAAGAGAAAAUUCAAAGAUUUUGAAGUUGAUGGGGAAACUGUCAGUGCUGGUCUCACGGAUCACAUGAUAGCACAACUUUUUGAGAAGUCUUUUAAGAAGCAAGUUAAAUUUAUCAAACUUAUCCAACAACUUGAAGAGAACCAGAGUGAAGAACCGUCUGAAAGUCUGACUACACCUUCAGCUUUGAGGCAAGUAUUAGUAUUGUUUUAUUUAUGUUCCCUUAUAUUUUCUUCUGAUUGACUGAUUUUCCUUAAGUCCUUAAAUUUUGUAUUAAUUUUUUUGCCAGAAUGACAUUGAUGUCAGUCUUGAUAAAGCACAGUAAAACUGCACUUCAAAGUCUGAAAGAUUUCACAGAAGUAACUUUAUUAGAAGUCUAUUAACCCAAAACUCUGAUGCUUCAAAACUUCAAUAAAGAGAUCGUAAAAUAAGUCCAAAUGAAUUAAGUCGGUUAAUUAAUUUGUUUAUUUAAAAUCUGGCCAUCAUUUUAUGUUACAAAAAGUGCAUAAUGCUGCUAAUUUUUGUUGGUUUCGCCAUAUAACUCUGUGAAGUGAUUUCAGUAUAUGUGAGUACUUUUUGAACAUUCCAGAACAUUUUAUCAAUAUCUGCGUUUACUUGGACACUUGUAAUUGAAUUGAUGGCUCAAUCGGACUAAAAAACCUUCAUGUUAACACCUUAAUCGAUCUGAUUUAGCUUGAUCCAGAUGAAAUUUAGAUCGGAUUGAAAUGGGCGGUUUAUCCCUUUUGUAAUCCGAUCGAGAAAACAUGUAAACACUUGAUCGGAUUGAAAACCGAAACUGAAAGGACUGUGCAAUGACGUUAAAUAGCGUAAUGACGUAUGACGCGUGGAACGAGCUGUUCUUCCUGUUGAAUAAAGUGUCAUAUUAAUAAGUUUCCCGUCAUUCUAAAAUCCUAAUUUCACUCGCGUCUCUGUGAAGUGAAGCAGGACAACGUCCCACCAGUCCUUGUUUUGGAUUCUAAUCCAAAGAUGUCUGGUUUUGGCCGUGGUGAGGGGCAUUUUUCCUGCGUGAUCAAUAAGCAGCACGGCAAAACGGUUAAUCUGCUCUAAAUUAUGAUCAGAGACAAAUUAAUAUUAUGUCUGCUGUUUAAAACAAAUAAAUAACCAAUAGAGGAGAAUAUUUAUGCGCGAACAGCCGGAAACUCUGUAUAUUUGUGCAGUGUGCGCAUGUCAAAACAUCAAAUCCGAUUUGAAACUUGUGACACAUAAACGCGCACAUCAACCCGAUUACUUUAUUUAUCAUUCAUGUAAACACCUUGUUCGGAUUCAUCAAUUGUAUUGAUUUCAUUCUGAUUGUGUCCAUGUAAACGUAGCUAAUGCUGUUAAAAUUCAGAGAUCAUUUUGGUCACUAUAAUCGUGAUAUGAACAUUUCAUAUUGUUUCAUCUCUAUUCUGCGUCAUUCCUCUGUCUAAACAGCCAAGAGCAAAGAAUUUCAGCCCCAUUCCUCGUCUUCUCACUACCAAAUUCCCAAAAGAUGUUCAGUUAAAAUUGGAUAACAAAGAACCAUGUCAUAAGAUCAGCACUUACCGGCAUAAAAUUGUACGAGUGCUGCACGAGACUAUGGCUCAGCACACACUGUAAGUUUAAUAAACACUAUUUUGUUUUUUAAAUUCCAAACCCUGGUAAACAUUUGUAGUAAAUUUGCGCACUUUUUUUAAUCUUCUGAUAGAUAUCCUUCAAACAGUGACUAUGUUUGUGCAGUCAAGGCUCUUAUCUCCAAAUACCCUUACCUGAGAGAUGCAGAGGGAAAUGGAUAUGUAAGUCAACUGUUUAAUAUUUAUUUUUUAGACAUUAAUGUAAUAUACAAUUUAUAGACAUGCUUAAAAGGUCAUGAAACCUGCUGUUUCAGCACCAGUUGGUUCUUGCUACAGUUUAAUUUU